CUACGGGAGGCAGCAGUGGGGAAUAUUGCACAAUGGGCGCAAGCCUGAUGCAGCCAUGCCGCGUGUAUGAAGAAGGCCUUCGGGUUGUAAAGUACUUUCAGCAGUGAGGAAGGUGGAUAUGUUAAUAGCAUAUUCAUUUGACGUUAGCUGCAGAAGAAGCACCGGCUAACUCCGUGCCAGCAGCCGCGGUAAUACGGAGGGUGCGAGCGUUAAUCGGAAUUACUGGGACGUAAAGCGCAUGCAGGUGGUUUGUUAAGUCAGAUGUGAAAGCCCGGGGCUCAACCUCGGAAUUGCAUUUGAAACUGGCAAACUAGAGUACUGUAGAGGGGGUAGAAUUUCAGGUGUAGCGGUGAAAAUGCGUAGAGAUCUGAAGGAAUACCGGUGGCGAAGGCGGCCCCCUGGACAGAUACUGACACUCAGAUGCGAAAGCGUGGGGAGCAAACAGGAUUAAUACCCUGGUAG
rnacentral:rRNA from 1 species